CUUAACUAAAUAUAAAUUAAAAAAUGAAAAAACUAAAUAUAGUUGCUGGUCCUUUAAUUAUUUAAAAACCUUAGCAUAGUGCAAAAUGCAGUAGAGAGCUUUUAUAGUUAUUUUUAAACAACAGAAGUGAAAUUUAUAUGUUUGUCUACUGAACAGUAAUUUUUUGUGAAGUUACAUAAAAUUAAAAGCAAGAAAAAGUAUUGAAGUCAAACAUGUUAACCAAAUAAAAAAGAGAGCAAAAUAUAUUUAAAGUUUAACUUCUAUGAUUUAACAUUUGUAUUUGACAGGUUUCCAUAAUAUCAUUUACUUAAAUGUGACACUAUGUUCAAGUUUUUUACCACCGGAUACCAUUCCUGGCAUUAAUCUGUUUUUGCGAUAAGUAUAUAGUAAUUGUUGUGGUUCUCCCACAAAAAAGAUUACCAUCCAAAGUUAAAUAGCUCCUCGUAUCUAUAUCCACAAUUAAGUUAAGGAUUUUAAACAAUAUUGUUUAUUUUCACCUACACAUUAAGUAAAGAUUUUUAAACUUUUAUAGAGUUAAAAGAAGAUGUUGUUUAUAGGUAAUUUUCCUGAUAAUAAUAUUUUAUGUUUAGAUAUAUAAGUAAUUAUAAUAAAAAUGUAAAGCAUCAGACACAAUCAGAAUUUUAAUUGCUUUGCAAAAGUUGUUGUUGAGACUCCUGUAAUGACUGAGUCAUCAGAUAGGAAGGAAUAAUGCUGAUAUCUUAUCGUAUUUUUUGCAAAUAACCAAUAUUACAAAUUUCACAAAGAACUGAUGGUCAUGUUUGCAGGAACACAGUUAAAAGUACAUGUGGUCAUGACCCAGACAUGCCUUCACAAACCUGAAUAAAAAAAGUAUUGAAAUUUCAAAUAGAAAGCCCUAAAAAGUUUAGCGGACUGUACUUGGUUACCUUCUUGUGGUGCUUACAUUAUAACUGAUUUUAAAAAGUAACUUCGUAACUGAUGUUUUUUAUGUGAUUAACUAAAAGCCGAUACAAAGUAUUAAAUACGCAAAUAAAUUCUUUAAAUUGUUAUCAAUGAGUACAUAAUUAUUAUAUAUAUAAAUUAACAUUACUUAAAUUGCAAGAACCCGUUUUACUGAUCACAUUUAAUAUUUAUUUAUUAUAGUAUAAUCGCAUUUCUGGUUUACAUGAUUUAGAAUAAAUUUAAAAAAUUAUUAA